rnacentral:lncRNA from 1 species
GUCAGGAGCCUAAAGACCAGGGCAUGCUCCAGGCAAAGGAGAGGCUCUGGCUGAGAGGAGGGCUCAGUGGAUAUAUGCAAAAUGAGCAAAUAAACCACUGAAGAGCCACUCACACCUGGAGAGAGAACUCAGACAGCGCUUCCCUUCCCCGUGCCCAUACCCUAGGCCCCACACCUGUGUGUGUCCUCCACCCAUUCACCUGGACAUGGAACAAGCCCAGAAAGGCCAUCUGAGCAGCCACAGUGAGACCUCCGGUGUCCCUGACAGGAAGAGCCUCUCUCAUGAAGCCCAGCAGCACGAUAGCUUUCCCUGUGGGGCUGAGACUGACAGCUGGCAAAGGACAGAAAGGAGACAAGGCGACGUGAAGGACUUUCCCAGUCCCACCAUCAUGAAAACCACUCAGACGCGGCCAGAAUGACCUGCCGGAGAGAGCGUUCCCCUUGAAGAAUGGCAGGUGCUGGCGGCAGACACUGUCUGUGUAGUCUGGAGUCAUAUCCCAGCCCCAAGGCCCCACAGCCUGAACCUCAGCCACCAGCAGCUCUGCCAGGCAACCUCUCGUCUCCAAGGCACAUGUGAAGCAGGGAUCUGGAAGCCUAGGCCUUUCCAAGGAGCAGCUGUUUGAAGAACGGAUCUGGCUAUAGGCAAACGUGAAAGUUGAUUUUCUUCUACAGAAAACCUGAUUGCUUUUGACGCCCAAAGACUUCUGGCAAGCUCUAAGGCUGGAAAACACAGUGGGCCCUGGGUUCUCUGGCUGGAAGGGCCCCACUGCCUACAUAUACAUAUCCGUUUGUGUGUGUGUGUGUGUGUGUGUGUGUGUGUGUGUGUGUGUGUUUUAGAGGCCCUGGAGGGAUCUCACUUGUGACCAGGAGUAAGGCUGGUUAGUUAGUUGCCUACGACAAUUGCAAAUUUAUUCCCCUUUUGCUGUGUUUACCUGACACUGCUACUCAUGACAAACACCAGUGAGCCUGUUGGGCACUUCUGGGGAGCCAACCUCCCAAAUACAAACCUCCCACUCAGAGUGAAGGAGAUCUCCUCCAACUUUGUCUCUGUGUCAAAGGCAGGCAUUGGGAGCAGGGCUGCUGAGGGCCUACUCUCUGCUUCAUGACUCAAAAGGCACAGCUCUCAUCUUAAAGGGAUAGUAUAUUCAGGAGCCAUGUUGAGCGACCAGUGACCUAGGGACACAGAUUGGGGUUACCCCAAAUUCCAUGUUCGAGUGUGGAAGCAGUUUCAUGAAGUUGUAUAGUUUUAUAGAACAAAGAAAGUCAUAAAGUAAGGCGAGUUUAGAAUACAUUGAUGGAUACACCAGGCAGUUACAGCGGUAAAGGAGAAGCUUUUCUAUGGGCUCAAGAUGUUGUCUGAUGACGUUUGUAGCUUUUGGAUUAGUGGAAGCCAGUGGUCUGCUAAGUCAAUAGGUUCCA